rnacentral:misc_RNA from 1 species
GAUGAAGAACGCAGCGAAAUGCGAUAAGUAAUGCGAAUUGCAGAAUUCAGUGAGUCAUCGAAUCUUUGAACGCACAUUGCGCCCUGUGGUAUUCCGCAGGGCAUGCCUGUUCGAGCGUCAUUUCAACCCUCAAGCCUCGCUUGGUGUUGGGCCCUGCCCGCCGCGGCCGGCCCUAAAGAUAGUGGCGGCGCCGCCUGGCCCUCAGCGUAGUACAGCUCUCGCUCCAGGGUCCGGCGGCAGCCUGCCAGAACCCCCCAACUAUGUGGUUGACCUCGGAUCAGGUAGGGAUACCCGCUGAACUUAAGCAUAUCAAUAAGCGGAGGA